rnacentral:rRNA from 1 species
CCCUUAGAUGUUCUGGGCUGCACGCGUGCUACACUGAUGCAUUCAGCAAGUAUACUUCCUUUGCCGAGAGGCCUGGGCAAUCUUGUAAACAUGCAUUGUGAUAGGGAUAGAUUUUUGCAAUUAUUAAUCUUUAACGAGGAAUUCCUAGUAAACGCAGAUCAUCAAUCUGCAUUGAUUACGUCCCUGCCCUUUGUACACACCGCCCGUCGCACCUACCGAUUGAAUGGUCCGGUGAAGCCUCGGGAUUAUGAACAAUGCCUUUGUUGGCAUUGUUUGUGAGAACUUGUCUAAACCUUAUCAUUUAGAGGAAGGUGAANUCGUAACA